UCUUAUGGAAAUUAUUUUUUACUGUUGUAUACCAUUCCCAUUUGGAGAUUCAUCUCUUAAAUCCACUUGUGGUGUCUUUUCCACGGUUGGUUAUAUGAGUCUAAUUUGGCUUGAAAAAGUUAAUGCCAGAACAAACAGAUAUUUUAUUAGGAUUAUUCUUCUGAACUAACAUACUUUAUUGCCUCAGUUGAUCAGGUGAUUUAGGUAAUAUCUGAUGUAAAUUAAGUAAAUAAAACGUAAGAUUCAACUUUUGACAUGUUAAGCAGCAGGAUGCCAUGAAUACUCAUUGCCUGUCAGCUGUGCAUUCAGAUGCUAAUCGCCGCAUGUAAUCCUGCAAAAGGUACCGCCUAAAGGAUUGGCCCUAAGAGACGAGAGAAACAAGUUCUUCCCAUACUGGAAAUCGGUGUUGUCUGCUCGGCUGAUGGUGAAUAUAGUUCCACCUUGUGAACCAACCAUGAAGGACAAGAAGGCAAUGCAAGGUACUGAACCAGGCAGGAAGGGUGUCCAGGUCACAAACAAAUCAAGGGGGAAUUUGACCUCAGCGCCUCAGUUGGGGAGCAGAUAUGAAUGUAGAAGGCAGCUUUGCACUAUUGUUUUGAGGUCCCUGAAGGUGCUCAGACGCACUUGAAUAGAUAUCUGAUGAGAGCGUGCCUGUUGAAAUACCAUUCCUGGGUCUGAGGAAAGCAGAAGCAUCGGGGACAUGAAAAUGUUAUUUUUAUGGCCUGUACUUGUGAUUUGAAACCUUGAUGUCACUGUACUAUUUGGAAUAUUACUAUUCAAAGUUGACCUUCGAUGUAAUGU